rnacentral:rRNA from 1 species
AUUGAACGCUGGCGGCAUGCCUUACACAUGCAAGUCGAACGGUAACGGGCCUUCGGGUGCCGACGAGUGGCGAACGGGUGAGUAAUACAUCGGAACGUGCCCGAUCGUGGGGGAUAACGAGGCGAAAGCUUUGCUAAUACCGCAUACGAUCUACGGAUGAAAGCAGGGGACCGCAAGGCCUUGCGCGGACGGAGCGGCCGAUGGCAGAUUAGGUAGUUGGUGGGAUAAAAGCUUACCAAGCCGACGAUCUGUAGCUGGUCUGAGAGGAUGAUCACCCACACUGGGACUGAGACACGGCCCAGACUCCUACGGGAGGCAGCAGUGGGGAAUUUUGGACAAUGGGCGCAAGCCUGAUCCAGCCAUGCCGCGUGCAGGAUGAAGGCCUUCGGGUUGUAAACUGCUUUUGUACGGAACGAAAAGCCUUCUUUUAAUACAGGAGGGUCAUGACGGUACCGUAAGAAUAAGCACCGGCUAACUACGUG